GACGUAGGGCGCGAGCGUUGUCCGGAUUUAUUGGGCGUAAAGAGCUCGUAGGCGGCUUGUCGCGUCGACUGUGAAAACUCGGGGCUCAACUCCGAGCUUGCAGUCGAUACGGGCAGGCUAGAGUUCGGUAGGGGAGACUGGAAUUCCUGGUGUAGCGGUGGAAUGCGCAGAUAUCAGGAGGAACACCAACGGCGAAGGCAGCUCGCUGGGACGGUACUGACACUGAGGCGCGAAAGCGUGGGGAGCGAACAGG
rnacentral:rRNA from 1 species